UACGUAGGGACCGAGCGUUGUCCGGAUUCAUUGGGCGUAAAGAGCUCGUAGGCGGCCACUCAAGUCGAAUGUGAAACCUCGAGGCUUAACCUCGAGCCUGCAUUCGAUACUGGGCGGCUAGAGUCUGGUAGGGGGAUCUGGAAUUCCUGGUGUAGCGGUGAAAUGCGUAGAGAUCGGGAGGAACACCAGAGGCGAAGGCGGCGACCUGGACAGAUACUGACACUCAACUGCGAAAGCGUGGGGAGCAAACAGG
rnacentral:rRNA from 1 species